CCCUUCAUCCCCAGACUACCUCUAUGCCUGAGAUGGCUGCUUUGUUCUAAACUACAGAUCCCAGAACCCCUUGCAGAUCCUAGAGAAAAAUUAUCUGCAGCUGGCUCAGUUGAAGCUUGGAGUGAUAAAAGAAGGAGGGAAAGGCGGUAUAAAACAGCGAUAUAAAACAGCUGCUUGGUGCUUCACAAAGCGGCUUUCCUAUUGGCGAUUUUCGCUGGAAGUAGCACAACUUACUACACUAAGCCAAAGGAUUUAAGCCACUGCGUGCAUUUGUGCUCUUUAAUUUUUGAAAUCUCCUCAGACAUGGACAACAUGUGAAGCUGAAAAAAUGAAUGAAUAAAAACAGGAAGGUGAAAGAUGAAGGUCGACCUUUGAUCUACACCCAUGGAAGGAGAGGCUUUUCUUAAGGAUGAACAGAAGCAGCUACAAGCAGGAGCCUACCAAAAAGAGGAUGAUGCAGAUGAUUAUUUUUUUCCCCUUUUACAGGCCCUUCGGAAUCUAGAAGAUCCUCAAUUCACUAUUCUCUCCUUCGAGCAGAUGAGGGAAAAGAGAAGGAAUUAAGACUCCAGGGGACAUUGCCAGAAAGAGGGGAGGAUGAAAAUGAGAACUGCUGGGAAGGAAAUGAAUCACUGAGGCACAAUCAGGAAGACCAGAGGAGAGACAUAUCUCACAGAUAUCCGAGCAGCGUUGCCUCUGAAGACGAAACGGGAAAAACAACAAAGUGGAGCAUCAGUGCACUUCAACGCUCAGAGUAUCAACAAAAUAUCCCUCUGAGGAAAAGACCAGUGAAAUGUCCAACAUGUCACGCCGAAAUAAAUCUGUGUCACUGUUUGAAGGAUGGAGAAAGUUUCAGAUGGAGCCCAGAAGAUACAAGAUUUCACACAGGAGAGAAACACAAAUGCUUAAACUCUGACCUUAAAGCACCUCAACCAAUGCAUUCUGAAGGGAAAGGCUGUACGUGCAUAGAGUGUGGCAUGAGCUUCAAGAGACGUUCAGAACUUGAAAGCCAUCAAAGUAUAAACACAGGACAGAAAGCAUACAAAUGCCAUGAAUAUGGACAGGCCUUCAGACGCAAUUCAC
rnacentral:lncRNA from 1 species